rnacentral:lncRNA from 1 species
GACAUGAAUUUAUUUUGAGGAGGCACAGAGUUGAUGAAACAAUGAAAAAUCACUUGGUCCAAUGUCCAAGUUAGACGAUUCUCUAUGUGAAAAAGUGAAAAGAAGAGAGAACAAAUUUACAUCAUAAUCAUCUCCAAAUAUUAUGUAUAUCAAUCACUAAAUAAAAUUUCAAAGUAAUAUAAUAAAUCUAUUCUUCAUUUUCCUGGAGAGGGCUGAAGUCUCUACUGAUCUGAUGCUACAGAGAAGCAGCAGCGACGCACAAAUCGCCUGCGCUACUUGAACGAGGCGAUCGAAUCUGAUCAUAGAUCACCACGGUUGGCCUUUUCUAAGCUUUGAUUUGGAUACACGAUGUUCCAAACAUCAUCUUUAGGCCAUAAAACAGAAGAAGAAGAAGAAGAAGAAGAAGAAGAAGAAGAAGAAGAAGAAAAAGAAGAAGAAGAAGAAAAAGUCACCAUUAGCGUUAGGAAAAUCCACAUAUCUUGUCGUUUUGACUAAUGAUCAUGCUGUGAUCUGCUCUCCUCGUCUGUCUCAUCAAAUCUUUACCCUUGUCUCUUGUUGCCAGAUACAAAGCACGUACAAAGGUGGUUCAAGCCUUCGCUAGCUGUAUGCUCUUUUUCUCGGGGAAAUGAUGGAGGGGAUGCAGAUGACCUUUUGGUUGGCCUCGCAACAAUGAGCCAACUAUGGAGUAGCGAGCAUGGGAGGGCAAAAGUGAGCGUUUGUUGGGGUGCGAGGACGGGGGCCGCACGAGAGAAGGAAAGCAUGUCAAGGGAAAAAGGAGGUAGUCAUCUUCUUCCCAGCCAAAAGCUGGUGUUGGGUGAGAAGAAAGUUGCACCCACUUUUUCUCUCUCAAUCUGCUUGCAGCGAAGGGGGAGGGGAAGAGUCGUCAACUCGGUUAAAGCUGUGACCUGACACCCAACCACAACAAUGUGAUACGGAAAAGCAGAGAAAUGGAUCAUUAAAGGGGGCCUCACCUUCCCCAACCAUAAAAGAAUGGCCGUGUGUGAGCUCUAAUCUCUCUACCCCUUCUUCUUCUUCAUCUUCUUCUUCCUCCUCCUCCUCCUCACCUCACCUCACCUCACCCCACAACGGUGGUCAUCAUCAGGGACCAUCAUCUCUGCCUUGUUCAUCCAAGAUUGGGUGCCGUGUGCGAGGCUAAACAUAUGGAGAUUCCUUGCAGCAUUAUUAUACAUGAGGAGGAGACCAUGACACUUUAACAAAAGUGAUGAUGAUGAUGAUGAUGAUCUCUGUGAUAAGUUCUGAAAAGGGAAACAAUAAAGCGAAAGAGAUGUGUGCAUGCUGCAGUCACAACCUGAUUGCUUGCUUUAUGAGAUUGUUAACAUCCACCAUCGACAAUGAUUCAUCUAUGUAAGGCUUUUCCAGGUGGUGUUGAUACAGAAAUUGCAUCCAUGUAAUAUUAGAUCCAAGUGAAGAAGCAUCACUUACCUUUCCCGACAUUGGCAUCUUCAUUCAUCUUUAUCAAAG